rnacentral:rRNA from 1 species
CGCAAGGAAGUAAGAUCCCUGAAAGAUGAUCAGGUUGAUAGGUCUGAGGUGGAAGUGUGGCGACACAUGGAGCUGACAGAUACUAAUCGAUCGAGGACUUAACCAAAUUUCUA